rnacentral:rRNA from 1 species
GACGAACGCUGGCGGCGUGCUUAACACAUGCAAGUCGAACGAAGUGGCGAACGGGUGAGUAACGCGUAAUCAACCUGCCCUUCAGAGGGGGACAACAGUUGGAAACGACUGCUCAUACCGCAUACUGAAGUCGGGGAUUGCGUCUGAGUAGUUAGUUGGAGGGUUAACGGCCCAAAAAGGCGAUGCUCAGUAGCGUGGCUGAGGUGAUGAACGGCCAGAGUGGGACUGAGACACGGCCCAGCAUCCUACGGGAGGCAGCAGUGGGGAAUCGUCCGCAAUGGACGAAAGUCUGUCGGAGCAACGCCGCGUGAGUGAUGACGGCCUUCGGGUUGUAAAGCUCUGUUAAUCGGGACGCGGUACCGGAAUAGAAAGCCACGGCUAACUACGUGCCAGCCGCCGCGGUAAUUC